UUCCCAUAGAACCCCUUCGCCAUCUACAAAGCACACAAAGAAAGAGAGAACCAAACCCUAAUUUCGACAAGAUUCUGUCAAAAGGGGUCCACAAAAGAAAAUUAGCUACCGAGAAGAAAGAGCAGAGAUCUAUAGAAUCAAUGAAAUUACACAAAAGUGUGACAAGAGACGCGAAUCACAGAGAUAAUAAAGGAAGGGACAAAGGAAGGUUCAGACCAAACCGUGUUUGUUUUCGGCCACGUGAAUUGUUAAAAAUCGCGACAACGUCUUAAUUGGCUUAAUUGGUUCAAACGCAGCGGUUGCGGUUGCGGUUGUGGGAGUUUGUGGAUGCGGACGGUUGCAGUUUCUAGCGGUUUUAAGAGAUUUGUACGAUUGGUACUGCGGUUAAAAAUUGGUGCGUUUACGGGUUACUUAUGACUGGUUAACUACCAAAUGUGGUAACAGUCAAAUAAUAAAUUAACAAUAUUUACAUUUAAUAUAAUUAUAAAAAUAUCAAAAA